CCAGUCACCCCAGUACACUGCUGGUUAAUGCUAGCGGGGCAUCUGGGUCUACUGCAAAAGAAACAACACCUCCAGGCUGUCUCAGCAUUUCAAAGAGCACAGGCAUAUGCUGCAGUUAUAUAGCUGCUGAGAAAUAACGGUACGUGGGUGAAUCUCUGUUGCUAGUAGAGUAAGUGCUGGGUCUUGCACACAUGAUCCAUGGGAUCCAUACUGCAAGCAGCUGCCACUGCCAUUCCCUUGCUCCAGCCCAGAGACCAGAGAUUGAGUCCUCAUCUAUCGUUCUCCAGCCAGCCUGAGAAGACCUGGCACAACACAGUUGUCAGCCAGAUUGGCUCUGACAAGUAUCAUAUGCUUUACUGCACCCAUUAAAUGCCUGCCUCUCUCACCAGUCUCACUGUCAUUCAUCCUGAAGAGCAGGUGCAUUAGCAUCUUUGUGUAACAGCCUAGGAGGCAAAAAUUAACCAGAUUUGCCAGGUAUAACUGUUGUUUGGUGAGGGGAGGGAUAGACAGUCUUUCCUUUACAUAUCAGAGGAUUGUCUCUGCCCCUUCUGUCCUUCUCACCACCUGUCCUGAUUGUGUCAUAGAGUGGCUAUUAAGCACUUCUUGUAAAUAAUCUCCCUGCAGUUGGAAGAUGCCUCAGAGCUCAUGUUACUCACAUUUGUCAAAACCAAGCAAAAAUAGUAAAAUAUCCUUCCAGUGUCAUGAGGCUUUGGGCUGGCUUUCUUCACACUGUAUUCAGCUAAAAGCACCUUUUGAAUCCUUAUUUCAGGAUGAAGAUUGUUGUGUGCCCCAGGAAGACUUCCUGCUACUUCAAGCUGCAAGGGUCUUGUGGGAUGCAUCAAAUCUCCUUUUUACUGCCACACAGUUUUGCACGUUAGUGCCCAUGUAUAAAUAUUACUUCUCAUUAAUAAUCUUUUUGACCCAGGAGCUCACCUGUGAUCUGCUCUCUCAUGCUAUACCCCUUCUUGAGAGCUUUCCAUUGCUUUAAUGUAUCAAUGAACAGAUGUUAAAAUACGUAGAGCCACAGCUAUAUGGAAGCCAGAGGCAGUUGUUUUGUGUUGAGUCAGGUGCUGCAUAGUUUCACAGCAUCCGGUACAAUAUAACCCUGAUCCCAAAUGAGAGAAGGCACUGUUAGCCCUCCCGUUAUUUUGUGACAAUAAUACUAUAUAAUUAAUAAGUAUAUUUCCUCUCACAGGGUUACGAAGUAACUAUUUCUUCAGAGUUUGUACCUUAGUCAGGACACACAAGGGCAAAGAGUUAUUAUUGCUAAACAUUAGUGAAGAGCUCUUCAGUCCUGCCAUCCAGACACCUCCAGCCAGCCUAUCAUGAGAUGUUCUAUUUACCCUAGUGCCCUUGCACCCUUGUCAGUUUCAUUUUGAAGUAACUCAAAUGCAGCUCAGACUAAUCUCAAGUGAUGUCUGAAUUUCAUUAAUACAGGUUCAGUCUGACUCCUUUAGCUCAUCCUGCCAUUGCCACGUUGAGAGUAAAAGCACUUCUUGUGAAAGCAUAAAUCAAAUCCCCACAACUACAUGGUGGAGUCACAAGUGCCCAUUUUGACAGUCCAGCACGGCUCUGUUAAGUUGGAUGCCCCAUUUUGCUAGUGAGGAUGCUGUCAAACGGGAAAUGCUGCAGCACAGAAUUGGUGCUCUCUACUAAGAGAUCGUGGUUCAAAGAGUUUAUGAGUGUGUUAGAGAAAUUAACAUUUCAUUAUGACCUUUCCUUAGCAUGAUGAGACAUAAUUACCCCACAGGGACUUUGCCACUUGCCCACAUCAGGACAGCAAUGUUUACAAUUCUUGCUGUUUCAGUAUUCAGUGCAACAGGAAUGUUGUUGUUUCACCAUCUUAUAAUGACAGACCCAGCUCUUUUACUCUACAGCCCAGCCAAAGUGUCAAGAAAAAGACACAGACUUUUUGAAUGGUACAUGAACAGGAACUGACCUGUUGUUUAAUCAGGGUCUCUACAUUAGUUAUUCCUGCUGUGAUCCUGGGGGAAUCACUAGUUAAAUCCAAAGUAAUGCAAUUAAUUAGGGUAGACUAAGAAGCUUCAUUGUAAUUUUGUUAUAAUAACCUUCCCCAUUUUGUAAGCUAUCAUUUUCACUAAAUUAGAUAUUCAGGAUGAAAGAGCACAGCACUCCCAGGCAGGCUUCCCUGGUACUGGCUGUCAUUAGAUGAUGCCGUAACAUGUGCCAAAGGAAGUUCAGCUGAGGUGAUAAUAUUGGCAUGUACAACUUGGACAUCCACAGUAGUUUGGUGGGAGGCUGAAACAUCACUGGUGUUGGGAGGAAACUCUGCAAGCGGUGGGUUAGUUGGUGGGAGGUGAGACUGGCAGAGAACUGAGUUUGUGCUGAGCUGUGGGCUACUCAGAAGUCUCUCUGUGGAGCUGACAUGAGCUGCUGUCUGUGGACACAAUCAUUUUCCUUGCGUCACUCCAGUGUGUGCACCAUGACGGGCCCAACGGCUGACUUUUUUUUUAUUUUCCCAAGGAAAAUUAUUUACUGUUGCUUGUUUUUCUACAGCAAGAUAUUAAUAAACUGUUAGAUAAAGCAGACAGGGUAUGCUUUGUUCCCAUUCUUUUACAGGCACUUGUACAUAAAGCACUCAGCUCCUCGCUGUACCAGUCUGCAGCAAUGGCUGAUGUUACGCAAAGUUAACUAAGCCCCCCAUCAGGUAACUAGCAACUAGCAAAGGUAACUAAGAUCCCCAUCAGCAUUAUGGACAGGAAUGAGAACAGAAAACAAGGCUGGAAAAAUCAGACUAGGUUUUUCUUCUGAAUGCAGGCAAGUAAAUAUCCAUUAAUAAGGAAAGAACAUAGGACGGGGACAAAAAAUGUAGGAAUCCACAGAGGUAGAGGCAGAAGUUCAUUAGCAUCUGCUCCUUUUUGGUGUGUGUGUGAGACCAGGGGAUUUUUUCACCAUUAAUACACGUGGGGCUUUGCAGGUUCCUAGCUACCACCAAAUCGAUUUUAGCAAGACUCCUGGUAUUUCUCUGUGGUCUGUGAUAGUUUCCUACAGCUCUGGUUAUAACCUCUUCCCCUACACACUGCAGUCCAACCUUGCAACGGCCUUGUGUGUCACCCCAGCCCUCUCCAUUUCCUGCUUAUGUGUCUCCUGAAAAGUCCUGUAGCUGCAGUGAGGACAACAUAAUUCAGACAGAAACAAGAGGAAGACAAAAGCGUAAGGGUUGACUUGAGUAAAUAUUCCCUGGAAGGGGGAUCCCCAGGACAUCUGCGUACAGAAAAGAUACAGAAAUUUCUGCAUAGAGAAAGACACAAGGCAGGGCCUGGAUGCAGGAAGACAAGGAAGCAAAAGAGUGGAGGAAGACAAGGAUCAAAUGCAAAGACAGACAAGACUUUUUUUUUUUCUUUCUUUUUUUUUUUUUUUUCCUUCCUUUUCCAUCCUUACCACCUAAACUAUCUCUGAGGAGGUGUGGCUGUCUUUUGUUAUGCUUCUGGCCUUUUGUUAUGCUCCUGCUGCCUGUUAUGGGGUAUUUCAGUGAGCAAGAGAUGGGGUUUCUAGACACUACCACAAUAUAAAUGAUAAUAGUGGGCAGGGUGAGAUUUCAGAGCUGAUGGACUUGAAAUUAUUAGUGCCUAGUGCUGAGUAAAAGCACCCACAGUGCCAGGCAGGAUUUGUUUGAGUGGGUAACCCACCUGUGGUUUUUCAGUGGUGACUGCCCUGUUCCAGCUGUGUGCCUCCAGCUAAGAAGCUCUAAAUUAUUUACCAGGGCAGCAAAUUAACACCAAGAAGCACCAACACCUGAAUGCUCAGUAAGUCAUAUAUAAAACAUGCUUCCUUUUGUGAGGCUAUGGCAUGCUGGCAGAAAGGAAGCUGAGGAGGGAAGGCUCAUGGGAGAUGAAGCAUUUGGGGUUGGCAGGGCAUCUUCAAGACAGCCUAAUAAUGAGGGCAGUGAUUCAAAGUCAAGUUUUUCAGGUGUUCUGUGAGUUAGCAUGAUUGGCGAGAAAAAGAAAGUAAAAGAACAGAAGUGGCAUCACAUGGAGGGCUCUACAGCAAGUACGGGAAAUGAGAACAGAGAGAGAAUUUUCUUUCAUUGCUUCUUCCCAGGAAAUUAGCCAUGGAAUAUAGAGAAGUGAUGGAAGGACAGGAGGAAAUACUGUGCCUUAGAAAAUGUCUUUAUUUAGCCUGCAGAAAGCCUGAGGUCUAGCCAAGAAGAAUUGAUUAUGAAUGUUCUCAUAUUGAAUGUCUGAUCUCCCUGAGGUUGGUGUUCUGUUUCUCGCUACCUUCCACAAUGAUGUCAGGAGUAUAAAACACCUUGAAUGGUUGCUAUGGUUCUGUUCACAAACACAUCUUCUAGAAGUCUUUCUGUCUUCACAUAGUUCAAGUCACAGUUUUACGAUACCUGCAAUUUAGAGGCAAAGCUGCCCUGAGAAUAAAUGAAGGACUGUUUUUAACCUUAAUAUAAUUUGCAUUGUCCCACAAAUAUUUAUACCAGUAAACUGUGAGAGUGCUGUUUUAGGGGUGUAGGAGCAGAAAGCAGGAGGGAGUAAUAAGCCAGGAGAGGAAUGACCUGUGAAGUUGGAAUCUCAUGAUACUACAGCCUUGGAGAAACUGCAGCGUAAAUCAGACUCACCACAGUCCCUGGAGUAUACACUGACCUGGCUGCUCUGAUGCUUGUGCACUUGGAUUGACACUCUCCUACUAGAAACUCUUCAUAUUUUGAAGAUGAAGGAAGGUGAAGAACUUGCAGCUGGCUCCAACCACUGGCACUGAGUUCUAAAUGGUGUUACAACAUCAUUAGCUCUGCUGCUAUUUCUACAUUUAGUCUCAUCACUUAUUAGGAGCAACAUUAGAAACAAUAUAUAUUCUGUAAAUGGAAACAACACAGAAAAAGAUGCUUUAAGUCACUAUUCAGCUAUUAAAAAAAAAAAACGUUCUUAGUAUAUUGAGUAAUUGUACUAAAGCUGAUAUCACAAGCUAUUUCUAAGUGAUAAUUGAAUUAGUCCCAAGUGGUUAAAAUUUCCUUAAAAAAGGAAAACCCCCUCCUCCCCCAAAAACAAAAAAAAACCACAAACAAACAAAAAAAAAA